ACAUCUUUAUAGUGGUGGUGCUGCUAAAAUUAUUAAAAUGAAUGAUGUCAAUAAUAUUACACAUAUGUACAUUCGCAGAGCACUUUAUCAAAAACAUUCUAACAGAAACACAGUUGCUCUAAAAACAGCUUAUUCAUGGCAUGAAUUCCACAAGAUGUUAAAAACAUUGUUUGAGAUUUGAGAGUGCAUGAGACAUAUUAAUGGAUUGCACCACCUUAUUCAGAAUGAUUUAGCUAUUUAAAAAUGUUUCAGCAAUGUACUAGUUCCAGUGGCAGCCAAAGAAGUUCCAGAGCACAAAACUCUACCACCACCAUGCUUUACACACAAGAAUCUCUUCCAGCCUGCUUCUUCUUGGUCCCUGUAAUCAGUAACACACUUCAAUCAAUCUUUAAGAAAAGACUGAGUUCAGAGGUGAGAACGUAGCAGAACUGGAGAGCUGGGUCGACUCCUACAUGGACGAACUUCCACCUCUUACCAACUUCAUCCUGCCUGUAGGUGCCAACAGGGACAAUUUUACAUUAGAGUCUAAGUUUUUCAGUUGUUGAUGACAUACUUUUGCCAAAGGGGACUGUUUUAUGGUGAAAGAUGAGUUCAGGAGGAUAACUACACCUGGAGCGAGGGUUUCUCUUGCACUUUUACUUGAAUCUAUUUUUAUUUUUUUACUGCAAGUUUUCAGAAAAGUGUUUAAAAGAUUGAUAUCAUUUAUUUUGUCCUUACACUGUGACACUUUUAUAGUUUGUUUUCCAUUUACAACACGCUGUUUGAAAGACAUUUUGUUCACUGAACUGUAAGUAAAAAU